rnacentral:rRNA from 1 species
AACAGGAUUAGAUACCCUGGUAGUCCACGCCGUAAACGAUGUCGACUUGGAGGUUGUGCCCUUGAGGCGUGGCUUCCGGAGCUAACGCGUUAAGUCGACCGCCUGGGGAGUACGGCCGCAAGGUUAAAACUCAAAUGAAUUGACGGGGGCCCGCACAAGCGGUGGAGCAUGUGGUUUAAUUCGAUGCAACGCGAAGAACCUUACCUACUCUUGACAUCCAGAGAACUUAGCAGAGAUGCUUUGGUGCCUUCGGGAACUCUGAGACAGGUGCUGCAUGGCUGUCGUCAGCUCGUGUUGUGAAAUGUUGGGUUAAGUCCCGCAACGAGCGCAACCCUUAUCCUUUGUUGCCAGCGGUCCGGCCGGGAACUCAAAGGAGACUGCCAGUGAUAAACUGGAGGAAGGUGGGGAUGACGUCAAGUCAUCAUGGCCCUUACGAGUAGGGCUACACACGUGCUACAAUGGCAUAUACAAAGAGAAGCGACCUCGCGAGAGCAAGCGGACCUCAUAAAGUAUGUCGUAGUCCGGAUUGGAGUCUGCAACUCGACUCCAUGAAGUCGGAAUCGCUAGUAAUCGUGGAUCAGAAUGCCACGGUGAAUACGUUCCCGGGCCUUGUACACACCGCCCGUCACACCAUGGGAGUGGGUUGCAAAAGAAGUAGGUAACUUAACCUUCGGGAGGGCGCUUACCACUUUGUGAUUCAUGACUGGGGUGAAGUCGUAACAAGGUAACC